UUAAGGUUGAGGUUUAUGUUAUAGGUUAUGGUUUUAGGUCAGAGGUUUAGGUUUAGGUUAAGGUUAUAGGUUUAGGUUACGAUUUUAAGUCAUAGGUUUUGGUUUAGGUUAAGGUUAUAGGUUUAGGUUAAGGUUUUAGGUCAUAGGUUUUGGUUUAAGUUAAUGUUAUAGGUUUAGGCUAAGGUUUUAGGUCAUAAGUUUUGGUUUAGGUUAAGGUUAUAUGUAUAGGUUAAGGU